CAGUAGCCGCGGGAAUACGAAGGGGGCUAGCGUUGCUCGGAAUGACUGGGCGUAAAGGGCGCGUAGGCGGCGAUCAAAGUCAGGCGUGAAACUCCUGGGCUCAACCUGGGGGCUGCGCUUGAUACUUGGUUGCUUGAGUGGGGAAGAGGGUCGUGGAAUUCCCAGUGUAGAGGUGAAAUUCGUAGAUAUUGGGAAGAACACCGGUGGCGAAGGCGGCGACCUGGUCCUUGACUGACGCUGAGGCGCGAAAGCGUGGGGAGCAAACAGGAUUAGAUACCCCUGUAGUCCCUGUCUCUUAUAC
rnacentral:rRNA from 1 species